rnacentral:rRNA from 1 species
CACCGCGGUUAUACGAGAGGCUCAAAUUGAUAAUACACGGCGUAAAGCGUGAUUAAAGAAAAAGUAAAACUAAGGCCAAACACCCCCCAAGCUGUCAUACGCUAACGGACACACGAAGCCCGAAAACGAAAGUGGCCCUAAAACCCUUGAAUUCACGACCAUUAAGAAA